rnacentral:rRNA from 1 species
AGGAAGGUGGGGAUGACGUCAAGUCCUCAUGGCCCUUAUGACCAGGGCUACACACGUGCUACAAUGGCCGGUACAAAGAGUUGCGAUACCGCGAGGUGGAGCUAAUCUCAAUAAAGCCGGUCUCAGUUCGGAUUGGAGUCUGCAACUCGACUCCAUGAAGUUGGAAUCGCUAGUAAUCGCGGAUCAGCGCGCCGCGGUGAAUACGUUCCCGGGCCUU